UAAAGUGAAGAGUAUGAUCAUGGCUCAGAUUGAACGUUGGCGGCAGGCUUAAUACAUGCAAGUCGAACGAGAAAGGCCCUUCGGGGCUGAGUAAAGUGGCGAACGGGUGAGUAACGCGUAGGAAUCUACCCGGUAGUGGGGGACAACUCGGGGAAACUCGAGCUAAUACCGCAUGCGAUCGCCGACUACGGUCGGGGAUGAAAGUGGGGGAUCCACCCCCGUCACGGCUUCGGCCGAGACGGGACGGACCUCACGCUAUCGGAGGAGCCUGCGUUGGAUUAGCUUGUUGGUGGGGUAAUGGCCUACCAAGGCUUCGAUCCAUAGCUGGUCUGAGAGGACGAUCAGCCACACUGGGACUGAGACACGGCC
rnacentral:rRNA from 1 species